UUGCCCCGAGAAGAAUGAUACUGGCA
rnacentral:piRNA from 1 species